GGCAUUCAUCUCAUUUGCGCCUCACGCCUCUCGCUCCUCACCUCACCCUGUUAUCCAGACACCAUCUCCGCCUCACCUCAAACCUCUCAUCCAGACACCACCGCCGAAGUCUCUUUGUCUCCGACACUCUGCCUCUCACCCCUCUGGUGUUCUGACCCUCUCAGCCACUCCGAUCCGGCUCCGCCACUUCACCCUUUUCGCGAGACAGUGACUUCGACUCCUUCUCAGGUUCUCACCGUCGACUCUUGCCUACCGGAAACCCUAGAUCCAGGGAUAUGCCCUUAGCUUCUUCAGUGACUAGCCAUGAAAAUCUAACAGGAGUGACACGGUGAAAUGAGAAUGUAUGGUCCUGCGGUUUUUAAGACAUCAUUUGGGAGAUAAGCAAAUAUGAAAUUCAAUGAUGGAACUAAUACCUAUAGAGGAUCGAACUACAAUAUAUAUAUCGAUAGAUAGAUGAUUCACUCAAGUUGCCAAGCAUCUGCAUUUUCACCUAUUAAAUUUCAAUUUUAUGUGUUAUCGUUAUUGAUGUUUCAUGUUCUUAAUAACAAAAUAUUAUAUUUGUAAAUUGUUGUAAUUUUAUUAAAGUUGAUGGGUUGUAAUAAUUACUUUAUUUUGAAAUUAUGAUUUUACAAAAUUGUAAUCCAUUUAGCUACUCAAACUCUUAGAUUU